CAGUAUGCAGUGUUCAGUAUGCAUAUUUAGUACACAGUAUGCAGUGCAGUGUUCAGUAUGCAGUAUUUAGUAUGCAGUGUACACUGUUCAAUAGGCAGUGAACAGUGUUCAGUAUGCAGCAUUUAGUAUACAGUAUGCAGUGUUCAGUAUGCAGUAUUGAGUAUGCAGUGUACACUGUUCAAUAGGCAGUGAACAGUGUUCAGUAUGCAUAUUUAGUACACAGUAUGCAGUGCAGUGUUCAGUAUGCAGUAUUUAGUAUGCAGUGUACACUGUUCAAUAGGCAGUGAACAGUGUUCAGUAUGCAUAUUUAGUACACAGUAUGCAGUGCAGUGUUCAGUAUGCAGUAUUUAGUAUGCAGUGUACACUGUUCAAUAGGCAGUGAACAGUGUUCAGUAUGCAUAUUUAGUACACAGUAUGCAGUGCAGUGUUCAGUAUGCAGUAUUUAGUAUGCAGUGUACACUGUUCAAUAGGCAGUGAACAGUGUUCAGUUUGCGGUAUUUAGUAUACAGUGCAGUGUUCAGUAUGCAG